rnacentral:rRNA from 1 species
GAUGAACGCUAGCGGCAGGCCUAACACAUGCAAGUCGAGGGGUAGAACACUUCGGUGUUUGAGACCGGCGCACGGGUGCGUAACGCGUAUGCAAUCUACCUUGUACAGGGGAAUAGCCCAGAGAAAUUUGGAUUAAUGCCCCAUAGUAUAUAACCUUCGCAUGUUGGUUAUAUUAAAGUUCCAACGGUACAAGAUGAGCAUGCGUCCCAGUAGUUAGUUGGUAAGGUAACGGCUUACCAAGACGAUGAUGGGUAGGGGUCCUGAGAGGGAGAUCCCCCACACUGGUACUGAGACACGGACCAGACUCCUACGGGAGGCAGCAGUGAGGAAUAUUGGUCAAUGGGCGCAAGCCUGAACCAGCCAUGCCGCGUGCAGGAAGACGGUCCUAUGGAUUGUAAACUGCUUUUAUACAGGAAGAAACAACUCUACGUGUAGAGUCUUGACGGUACUGUAGGAAUAAGGAUCGGCUAACUCCGUGCCAGCCGCCGCGGUAACAC